rnacentral:misc_RNA from 1 species
GUUUCUUGGAUUAUUUGGAGAGAGGUCUUGGUUCUGAAGAAAACAAUAAUAAUCUCCUCGAUAAGUUACAAGAUGCAAUUGGCAGGGGUCAAAAUCCUCUUUCAGUUCUUCCUUCACUUAUGGCAGAGCCAGAGAUCAUAACUAUAUCUGAUCCGGGUGUGGGGAUUUCAGGAUCAGGUGCCAAAUACUGUUAUGACAGGUUUCCUGCAAAUGUCAGAACGGAAGAGCAGGAGGAAAAGAGGAAGCAGAUUCUAGCAGCAGCAAGUGGAGCACUUGAAUAUUCUGGGAGGCAUACUACUAGUUCACUUUCAGUACUUGCUGGAAAUGAUUCAAAGGCCGAAAGUCUAAGCCCCAGAGAGCGAGCUGCAGAGAGGGAACGUAUGGUUUUGGACAUAAAAGUUAAGCUUCAGGGAUUGUGGGUACGCCUUGUGAAUUUGGGACAAACUGAUGAUCCUCUUUCCUCCUUUGAAUAUGGAACCAUCCUCGCACUUAUUGAGUCAGAUGCUGAAGGAAUUGGUGGUAGUGGUUUCGUUGAAUGUAUAAGAGAGCACAUUCAUUCAGGUUUGAACUGUCAAUUGUCAGAGGAGCAGUUUAUUGCAGUCAAAGAACUGCUGAAAACAACAAUUAAUCUUGCUAUGUCUAGGAAUGACAUGGCAACUGUCAGAGAUGCCCUGGAAGUCUCUGCAGAAAUGUACAAGAAGGAUAUAAACAAUGUCUCUGACUAUGUUCAACGACAUCUUCGUUCUCUUUCUAUCUGGGAGGAGCUACGUUUCUGGGAAGGAUACUUUGAUUGUCUACUGGACCGUUAUUCUAGCAAGUCAACCAAUUAUGCAACUUUGGUGACAACCCAGCUCAUUGUUCUGGCUACUCACAUGGCUGGCCUUGGACUUCAUGAUACUGAUGCAUGGUACAUGAUUGAAACAAUAGCUGGGAAAAACAACAUUGGGUACAAGCACAUUAUAAAACUCCGUGGAUAUUUAUCCCAUGUCCGGCAUAUGUUUGUUGGUUACUGGGGAAUCCACUCAGUUAAGUUACAGUCUGCAUCUACCUUGGGAUUACUUUCCCCGCGAGCACAGGAUGCAUCUGAUGAUGCUCAACAACCUGCUGAGGCAUCUGGUAUCGGAAGAAGCUGGGUCCAGAGCAUGUUCAGCAGAGAUACGUCAAUAAGAGCCAAGUCUUUUGGUCGUGUUGGCAAAUGGUCUUCUGAUAGUGGUACUCUAGCUUCAAGCGAGAACGGGACGCCUCGAAAACAAGAUCUAUCAGCAGCUGGACAAAAGAAAAUGCAGACCAGCAUCCGUACAUUAAGGGGUCAUAGUGGUGCAGUUACCGCUAUACACUGUGUGACGAAAAGAGAGGUUUGGGAUUUAGUUGGUGACCGAGAGGAUGCUGGUUUCUUUAUUAGUGGAAGCACAGACUGCACGGUGAAGAUCUGGGAUCCUAGCCUUCGUGGUGCUGAACUUAGGGCUACUCUGAAUGGUCACACAAGGACUGUUAGGGCAAUUAGUUCUGACCGAGGGAAGGUGGUAUCAGGAUCCGAUGAUCAUUCUAUUCUUGUAUGGGAUAAACAAACAACACAACUACUUGAAGAAUUGAAGGGCCACAAUGCACAGGUCAGCUAUGUGCGCAUGCUUUCAGGUGAACGUGUCCUUACUGCU